AUGACAGUCGUGAUGACGUGAGAACACGCAGCUGGCGAAAUCCUGAUUGAGCGACAUCGCCACCUGUCGACUGGGGGAAUUAAGUAGUAUGCCAUUAUUGCACAGACAGUGUGUUUGGGAUCAGUGUCAUGCUGAAAAACUAAGCUGUUGCCAUUCCGAAGCUUUCCAGAUGGUAUAUUUCUGUGUUUACUGGAAGCAAAAUGGGAAGACAUGAGUGGUGCAAGACUUUUGCACAGAUUAUACAUACAUACAAGGGCCUAAGAUGUAACUGUACCAUGUUUGGUUGCUAAACUCCUGAUUGCAUAAGAGUCUGUGGACAGACAGAUUUGGAGUUUUACAGUCACAGAUGUUUAUUUUGUUUAAUUGAAAUUUUAUCUGCUUUAAAAAAGGCCAUUUCUGAACUCCAGGGCAAAUAAAAUCCAUCUUAUUUUAUCUUAUAAUGGAAUGGUCAAACUACCUCAGGUUGAACUCUCUGCAACCCGUGGAGCAAUGUGAAAAACACAUUCAGACAUCAUCAAAACUGUUUUGAGAAUGUGAGUUGUAAAAACAAUAAACACAAAUAAAAUACAUCAAAAGUUGAUGUCAUUUCCAGAAGCAGCAAUUUUAUUGGAUACUAAUGUGCAAUGACGAGUAACAGCAGAUUACAGUAGAUGCAGGAGACGAGUAAAUAUAUCAAAAAGAGGCUCCGGCUACAUCCAAGAACACAAUACAAGAAUCCCCCCAGACAGUGUAGUCUUAGAGACCCACAUUUUUUAACCAAUUGUUUAUUUUUGUUUCGAUUUUCACAGUCAUCUUGUAUUUCCUGACAUAAGCCACGGACACGUGUGACAGAAGUCUGACUUUAAAAAUCGGGGCUGCAGACUUGUAGAGUGUUCCUGACUAACAGAACAAUGAAACUGCUGCUGCUAACACUGUCUCGUUGGAUAUUUCACUGAGAACUGCUGAUCAUACGCCAACAUGCUACCACUGAAUGAAUAAUAAACGCUGAUGUGGGAUGGUAAGACAAGAGCAUGAGACACAGAGGGCAGUUUAUAACCUGUGAACAAUGCUGGAGAGAUAA